AGUGGGAGCACAGAGCAAUCUGUGUGACUGCGUACCUUUUGUAUAAUGGGUCAGCGACUUAUAUUCUGUAGCAAGGUUAACCGAAUAGGGGAGCCGAAGGGAAACCGAGUCUUAACUGGGCGUUAAGUUGCAGGGUAUAGACCCGAAACCCGGUGAUCUAGCCAUGGGCAGGUUGAAGGUUGGGUAACACUAACUGGAGGACCGAACCGACUAAUGUUGAAAAAUUAGCGGAUGACUUGUGGCUGGGGGUGAAAGGCCAAUCAAACCGGGAGAUAGCUGGUUCUCCCCGAAAGCUAUUUAGGUAGCGCCUCGUGAAUUCAUCUCCGGGGGUAGAGCACUGUUUCGGCAAGGGGGUCAUCCCGACUUACCAACCCGAUGCAAACUGCGAAUACCGGAGAAUGUUAUCACGGGAGACACACGGCGGGUGCUAACGUCCGUCGUGAAGAGGGAAACAACCCAGACCGCCAGCUAAGGUCCCAAAGUCAUGGUUAAGUGGGAAACGAUGUGGGAAGGCCCAGACAGCCAGGAUGUUGGCUUAGAAGCAGCCAUCAUUUAAAGAAAGCGUAAUAGCUCACUGGUCGAGUCGGCCUGCGCGGAAGAUGUAACGGGGCUAAACCAUGCACCGAAGCUGCGGCAGCGACACUGUGUGUUGUUGGGUAGGGGAGCGUUCUGUAAGCCUGUGAAGGUGUGCUGUGAGGCAUGCUGGAGGUAUCAGAAGUGCGAAUGCUGACAUAAGUAACGAUAAAGCGGGUGAAAAGCCCGCUCGCCGGAAGACCAAGGGUUCCUGUCCAACGUUAAUCGGGGCAGGGUGAGUCGACCCCUAAGGCGAGGCCGAAAGGCGUAGUCGAUGGGAAACAGGUUAAUAUUCCUGUACUUGGUGUUACUGCGAAGGGGGGACGGAGAAGGCUAUGUUGGCCGGGCGACGGUUGUCCCGGUUUAAGCGUGUAGGCUGGUUUUCCAGGCAAAUCCGGAAAAUCAAGGCUGAGGCGUGAUGACGAGGCACUACGGUGCUGAAGCAACAAAUGCCCUGCUUCCAGGAAAAGCCUCUAAGCAUCAGGUAACAUCAAAUCGUACCCCAAACCGACACAGGUGGUCAGGUAGAGAAUACCAAGGCGCUUGAGAGAACUCGGGUGAAGGAACUAGGCAAAAUGGUGCCGUAACUUCGGGAGAAGGCACGCUGAUAUGUAGGUGAAGUCCCUCGCGGAUGGAGCUGAAAUCAGUCGAAGAUACCAGCUGGCUGCAACUGUUUAUUAAAAACACAGCACUGUGCAAACACGAAAGUGGACGUAUACGGUGUGACGCCUGCCCGGUGCCGGAAGGUUAAUUGAUGGGGUCAGCGCAAGCGAAGCUCUUGAUCGAAGCCCCGGUAAACGGCGGCCGUAACUAUAACGGUCCUAAGGUAGCGAAAUUCCUUGUCGGGUAAGUUCCGACCUGCACGAAUGGCGUAAUGAUGGCCAGGCUGUCUCCACCCGAGACUCAGUGAAAUUGAACUCGCUGUGAAGAUGCAGUGUACCCGCGGCAAGACGGAAAGACCCCGUGAACCUUUACUAUAGCUUGACACUGAACAUUGAGCCUUG
rnacentral:rRNA from 1 species